AGAGCGCAAGGGGAAUGCCUUGGCAUCAGGAGCCGACGAAGGACGUGACAAGCUGCGAUAAGCCACGGGGAGGAGCAAAUAUCCGUUAUAUCCGUGGAUUUCCGAAUGGGGGAACCCGCUCAAGCAAUACUUGAGCAUCGUGCGUUGAAUCAAAUAGGCGUACGAAGGGAACGGCCUGAACUGAAACAUCUAAGUAGGGCCAGGAAAAGACAUCAACCGAGAUUCCGCUAGUAGUGGCGAGCGAACGCGGAGGAGGCCAAACCGAGGGACGCAAGUUCUUCGGGGUUGCGGACAGACAUCAAGACCAGAGGAAAUUAAGAGAACGGCGUGGGAAAGCCGGCCACAGAAGGUGAGAGCCCUGUAUCUGAAAAUGAAGACUGGCAGUCUGGAUCCAGAGUACCGCGGGACACGUGAAACCCCGUGGGAAACCGGGUGGACCACCAUCCAAGCCUAAAUACUACCUGAUGACCGAUAGAGGAGCAGUACCGUGAGGGAAAGGUGAAAAGGACCCCGGGAGGGGAGUGAAAGAGAACCUGAAACCUUGUGCCUACAAGCACAUAGAGCCCGUCAAAGGGUGAUAUGGUACUUUUUGUAGAACGGUCCGGCGAGCGAUUGUACGUUGCGAGCUUAAGGUCUUAAGGACUGGAGGCGUAGCGAGAGCGAGUCUAAACAGGGCGUUUAGUAGCGUGCAAUGGGCCCGAAACCGGGUGACCUACCCAUGAUCAGGCUGAAGUGAAAGUAAAAUUUCAUGGAGGGCCGAACCGACCUCCGUUGAAAAGGCGGCGGAUGAAUUGUGGGUAGCGGAGAAAUUCCAAUCGAACUCGGAGAUAGCUGGUUCUCCCCGAAAUAGCUUUAGGGCUAGCCUCAUGUUAGAUAUCCGGAGGUAAAGCACUGAAUGGCCUAGCGUCCGAGAGGAUAGCGAAGCCUAUCAAACUAAGAAUGCCGGAAUAUUGAUGCAUGGGAGUCAGACAGUGUGAGAUAAAUCUCAUUGUCAAAAGGGAAACAGCCCAGAUCUACAGCUAAGGUCCCAAAUUGUAUCUAAGUGGAAAACGAUGUGGAAAUACGCAGACAACCAGGAUGUUGGCUCAGAAGCAGCCACUCAUUUAAAGAGUGCGUAAUAGCUCACUGGUCGAGCGUCUCUGCGCGGAAAAUUUAACGGGGCUAAGAUACAAACCGAAGCUUAGGCUGCACUUUUAGUGCGGGGUAGGGGAGCGUUGUGUAAGCGGAGAAACAGUAGCGAAAGCGGCUGUGGAGUUUACAGAAGUGAGAAUGCCGGAAUGAGUAGCGCGAAUGAUGUGAGAAUCAUCAUGGCCGGAAACCUCAGGUUUUUGGAGGAAGGUUCGUCCGCUCCAAGUUAGGCGGGAGCUAAGGUGAGGCCGAAAGGCGUAGCCGAUGCACAGACGGUAGAGAUUCCGUCACCACCAAAAGAGUUAAGCACAGGGACACAUAUGAAGUCUCAGAGCCGGGUGUUGGUUCCGGUAGAGAUCGAGGGAAAUUAGUACCGAAGUCUGAGAUGGAAGAUGGCGAGAAAAGCUGUGUGUAUUUCUGAGGUGCCCGUACCGCAAACCGACACAGGUAGGUAGGAAGAAGAUUCUAAGGCCAACGGGAGAAGGGUUGUUAAGGAACUCGGCAAAUUGACCCCGUAACUUCGGGAGAAGGGGUGCUCCAGAGAUGGAGCCGCAGAGAAUCGGCCCAAGCAACUGUUUACCAAAAACACAGGUUUGUGCUAAAUCGAAAGAUGACGUAUACGAGCUGACGCCUGCCCGGUGCUGGAAGGUUAAGAGGAGAUGUGCAAGCAUUGAAUCGAAGCCCCAGUGAACGGCGGCCGUAACUAUAACGGUCCUAAGGUAGCGAAAUUCCUUGUCAGGUAAGUUCUGACCCGCAUGAAAGGCGUAAUGAUUUGGGCACUGUCUCAACAGCCCGCCCGGCGAAAUUGUAGUACCGGUGAAGAUGCCGGUUACCCGCGACAAGACGGAAAGACCCCAUGGAGCUUUACUGUAGCCUAAUAUUGGGUUUCGAUGUUGCAUGCACAGGAUAGAUGGGACUCUGGGAAACCAAGGCUUUGGCUUUGGCGGAGAGGCCGUUGGGAUACCAUCCUUGCGAUAUUGGAAUUCUAACCUGCGGCUCUGAAUCGAGUCGGGGGACAUUGUUAGGUGGGCAGUUUGACUGGGGCGGUCGCCUCCUAAAGAGUAACGGAGGCGUUCAAAGGUUCGCUCAGCUUGAACGGAAAUCAAGCAAAAGAGUGCAAACGCAGAAGCGAGCCUAACUGCGAGACUGACGGGUCGAGCAGUAACGAAAGUUGGAGUUAGUGAUCCGGUGGUAUGUGAGUGGAAAUGCCAUCGCUCAACGGAUAAAAGUUACCCUGGGGAUAACAGGCUGAUCUCCCCCAAGAGUCCACAUCGACGGGGA
rnacentral:rRNA from 1 species